GAGGGCGGCCGGGGCGGGCCGGGAGAGGCCCCGGCUGCGGGCGGGGACGGCUCCAGUUAAAGAGCCCGGCGGCGGCGGCGGCCUGCGCUGGGGCUCGGUGCUGUAAAACACAGCCGGCACCUGUCAGGACCCAGGACAUCCCUCUGGCUGUCCUGAGCAGUCAAGACCCCUGCCAGGGGUCUCAGAGACCCUGGCAGAGAGCCCAAAAAUGCCUGUGGUUUUGAUUAUGAGCCGUGGAGCAAGUUACCAACCUUAGAUGAAGAUCUGCAAGCCACGGACAUGAUCCCAAGACACUCCUGUGUUUAUGAUCUGCCCGGGAGCCACACGCUGCGCUGGGAGGAAGGAGCAAGGCUGGGCUGGGCUGAGCUGAACUGUGCUGAGCUGGGCUGGGCUGAGCUGAGCUGCGCUUCCCGGCCUGUCCCUUUGCUGCUGGGGACUGAACUGCCACCGCGUGGACAUCCUGCCAACCUGCACAUUCCCGGGAAAAGGCGAGGAGCAAGAGAGAUCUGGGAGCGGACCACAAGAGCGGAGAACUGGGAACUGUUAACAGGUGAAGUUCCAAGGUGAAUUUGAAAAGCUGGUGAGACACAGGAUUGGUCCGAACUCCUGCUCUCUUUUGCUUGGCUUUGCAUGGCUAUCUAGGUUUGAAAACAUUCUGUUCUCUCUCCGAAGGUGCAGCAUUAAGUUGUAAGUGAGGACAGCAAGGGGAAGGCAGAGCAUAAGCAGCUCUUGUGCUGGGAAAUGCCUUCAGCAGCACACAAAUAGCCAGAGGACUGGGCAUCUGGUCACUCAUAAUUUACCACGGCAGAUGUGGACAGGAAAACUCUCAUAACAAGUUAAUAAUGACAAAUGAGCUGAUCUAAAACCAGACCUCUAGCCACAGAUUACGCUGGAUACAGGAGUCAAAACAAAAUCUGCAGUGGGUUAGGUGCAGCAUUGCCAAACACAGACCUUUGCAGUGAUUUUCACCCUGAGUCAGUUGUCCCCCACUCCUUAUAUACUGAGGUCCUGAUCAUUCUCAGUCAAUAAAAAUUUCCAGCAUGGAGUGGACAAGUGAAUGGCAAGAUGCUAGUAAUAACAGGAACUGUCUAAGGGUUUAGUGAUUUCCAACAGCUAAUGCCCCUGAGGAACAAACUGCUUGAGGUGAUACUUGUACUUCUUGUACAACUGACUGAACACUACAGCCCUUUUUUUUUUUUUUUUUUUGGUUAAAAAUAGCAUCCCUAUUUACCACAUUAUUGCAAAGGAAUGAUUGCCAUUUCCAUCAUAGCUGCUUUUCUGACAGUGUUGAAACAUUGCUCGAGGCAGCUCUAUAUCUGCACCUGUGCCCCAGACAUGAGAGCCUUGGGAAAGUCAUGUACGAGGCAGCAAGGUAUGAACACACAUCAAAUGGGUUCCAUGUUUUGUUGGUUUACAGAGGAAAAAAACCUAUGUUUUCUUAAAGCUUAAAUUUGGAAUGCAGUUAGUAGUUAUCAAAAGAUGUUUACAUCUCUUUUCAUAUAGAAAAAUGUGUGUUUAUGUCUGAAAGUAUCUAAGCGGGCCAAUGCAUCUCACAUGCCAAGCUGACCUUUAGAGAGGACUACUGGCAUGUUUCCAAUACAAAAUCAGACUUGGCUAUUGAUACUUGUGACUGUUUUUCUCCUCUGUGCUUGUGAAUUUCUUUGUUGACCACACCCAAACAGCGACAGGCUGAGCUCUCCUACAGAGGGCUGGAUUUGUGCUGGGGACUGUUAUCCCCCCACAGCUGUAUUAAUGCUAACCCGUGAAAGAGGCAGGCUGAGCUGGGCACAGCCCUGAGAGUGGUUUGCUGGGUUUGGGCCCUGGGGCAGGGCAGGGGUUCAAGAGCUGCUCUUCCCCCUUGGCCAUCAUAAAGCCCAACACAAAGGUCUAACUGGUGAGAGACUGAUUCAUAGGGGAGAUAAAGGCAAGACGGAGGGAUGGCAGCAUGUAAAGCUGGGGCCCCAGGCUCACCUUUGUCCCCUGUGGCAGUGCCACCCACAGUGCCACCACUGAGCUUUCUGAACUUGAGCCAUGUCUUCAGUACAAUUUGAUUUUUGAUUACAGGUCUCUCAGCUUAUUAAUGUGAUACCUGGGCCUCGUGCUGUUCAUACCCUGCAGGCUGACCUGGGCAGAGCCAAAACUCCCCUGACAUGGAGGAUAUCCUCAUGCUGUGCUCCAGCCAGGGCUCAGCUCCAGGAGGGUUUUGCCAGCAUUUGAGUGAGAACCCCUGAUACAACACCCUACCUAUUUCACUAUCCCUCCACUGCUUGAGCAGCAGGCUCUAAAGAUUUUUCCUGGAUAUGUUGGGAAGAUUUAUCUAUUGGAUUUCUUGGAAAGAGCAUGGUAAGUUCAAAUGAAGAUAAUGUCUAUACUGCAGACUGCAACAGUGUGGCAGUGAGUGCUCAGGCUGGAUGCUGGGCACCACAAGGAUGCAAGUGAAAAAUCCUGAGCUCGAGGCAGAGCUACUCUGCCUUGGAGGUAGAGAAAAAGACAUGGAAAGGUUGAGUUUACGCUGUUCCCUAAGAGAUAUGGUAGGUCCUAUCUGAUGCAGCUGUGCUAACCUAGGCAAAGAUACAUAAGGAAAAAUGCAGGUGCUCCAGUUUCAGUCACAGAGCUGAAUCAGGAGACAAGGCAAUAAAUGAUAUUGCCACUAGACAAAACUUUGGGACUGCCAAAUGAGGAAGUACACGAGGAAGUCUGGUUGCACUGUGGGCUAGUUUAAGAUUUAUCCUGAAUUAGCAUCCAGGAAGUAUAUUGUCAUGUUCAAGUGUAGCAGCAGGGCUUAUUAGUUUAUCUAAUGCUUACUUGGUGUGACAUCUUGCUAUAUCACUAAGAAUCCUAUUAGAUGAGAUAGCAAGUAUUUAAAUGCAUGUGUAUUUGUGUGCUGUAAAUAGUACAGGCUCAUUUUUUAAAUACCAGUGAACCAGACUGACAGAUACCAGGAGUUAGAACAGACAUAUCUUAAGCUUGGAAGGGACCACAAUGGUCAGAAAUACUUUGCCAGCAUCAUAGCAGUGCACUGAGCUGGCAGGCACAGACAUGCACACACAGCCACGUGUGCUGAGCUGGCUCGUUCCUAUUUGAACACCUUCCCCACUCAGUGUAGGCUGGGAGAAGGGAUAAGAGGAAAAAAAACCCUGUACAUAACAAGUCUUGUCUCUUCCUCUGCUAUUAAAUAUUUCCCUGUGGAGCUGGCAGCACCCACAUAGCAGCAUCACAAACUCCUCACCAGCAAACAUGGGGUGCAGGGCUCUGUGCCAGCACAGCCAGGCACAGCUCGCUGUCACCCACAGCUGCUCCCUGGGACUGGCUCCCCUGUGCCCCUGGCUGCCACCAGAGCCUGUGUGUCACCCUGCCUGCCAGCCAGGGGUGGUGGAAAUCCCCACCAGCAAAAUCCAAGAUGUACGUGGCCUCUGCUUGUUCUCAGGAUGUUCAAACAGACUAAAGCAGGUGCAGGGUAACUAACAGUUAAAUUAGAAAAAGAAUACUUAGUAGUUAGAAAAUGCUGGUGAAAUUCCUGCCUGAUUUGUCUGUGGCAGACAUCCUGGAAAUACCUCAGUUCCUUCAGGGUAACUUCUACUGUGCAGGUCUUUUUUGUCUACCCAGAAGUUUUCAAGUAUAACUAUGACCAAGAUUCUCCUUAGAAUCUCCCAGACAGAGGAAGCUGAAGUUUGACCAAGGAGGCAAAAGAAGUGAAGAGGAAUUUGGAAAAAGAAUGAUUGUAUCUUCGCCUUCCAUUUUCCUCCAGCUCUCUAGUCCCACCAGCUCAAUAGGUUCCAACUCUUUUAACAGAAGAAUUUAUAAAGGACUCUCCUGUUCCCUGAACAUUUUGAUGGGCCUGAAGUGAAUUUCUGCACUUAAAUAAGUUUGCAACUUCACUGCAAUGGGAAUGGCCUGAUAACAGUCUGGUGCAUUAUGGCAUUUUCAAACUAAAUGAGAGUAGUACUUCUCAAAAGGCACUUUAUACAUCUCUUCCUCCUUUAUACUUCACAAGAAGUAGGGGGAAACACUUUUUUUUGGAUCAUCUGUUUUUGUGUGUUGAAGGUGUUCUUUAAUGCCAAAAACAAUUUAAUAAGAAUUUAUCAGGAAGUUCAGAAAAAAUAUUUAAAACAGAUUAAUUUACCCUAUACAUGUUCUUGUGUGAGCAGCAAGACAAAACCUAUCCUGAUUACACCAGGGAAAACAAAUAACCAGGCCAAAUGCUUUAAUAUGACAUGUGUCUCCCAUUGCCACUCAAGUGAAAAACACAUUUCAGACAAAAUAGGGUUGCUUUUGUUUGCUUUUUUUUUUUUUUUUAAUAUCCUCUAAAAAGGGGUAAAUAUUACUGGAUUAUUGUCCCGGUACAUGACCUCUUGUCUAGUCAUUCACACCUGUGAAAACUGAAUGGAAAACCAUGUGCCUUCAUAAAGUUUGGGAAAGUGGAAAAACAUGUACAAAAGUAUCUUCAGCACUGGAUAAUGAUUCUCUGCAUCUAAAAAGGGACAGAUUUUCAAUACCGUUCAAGUAAAAGAGGCUAGAUUUUUUUUUUCACUCAGACUAAUGUAAACUGCAGAAAUAUUUUCCAUGCAGUACACUAUGGUUUCUUCUAAAUCUCCUGAUUUUGCUUAUCCUUGAUGUCAAAUAGAUUUAUACCAAUAAAAAGCAUUACAGAAAAAUAAUUUUCCUUUAAACUAGUGAGUGGAAGGUUAAAAAAAUAUAUAUACUUUUGUAAUUUGCAAAGAAAGGCACAGAUUUAGAAAGGCAUGUCCUUAGAAACCUCAGCUUAGAGCUGCAGGUGGCAAAGCAAGGCAAACAAUGCAAAUGCUUCCAUAAGAGUGAAACACGGUCAUUCGGGAACUUAAUUUUUGGCAAAACAUUGUGAUGCACAGCUGAAGAAUGCUGUAUUUUGAAAUGGGAAAGGGCAACAGGACACAUCUCUUUUUUGAUCUAUAAAGGCUGAUGCUUGAGGGUUUCUUCCUACAAAAAAAACCCAUAGAAAUACAGCCCCUGCCCACAACAUACUCAAUUCAGUGCUUCAUUUUUCCUCUUUUUUCCCUCUGGGGCAAAUGCGUGGGGACGAACAUGAAGAAAAUGUAAGAUUACUCUGAACAGAUGCAGCAUCCUCAAGGCAGGGCACACCCUCCUCAAUACUGAAGCUGGUUUAGAGGGUGGGGCAAGGAAGGGAUGUCUCCAAGCCCCUCAGCUGCCUUCCCCGGCUGUUGUCACCAGUCUGUCACCUCCUCCCGGCUGCACACCACACCAGCAUCCUCCUCGUGCGAGCAGUUGUGCGUGCCCACCCCGGCGUGGGAGCAUUCCAGCAGCGUCCUCUCCUGCCCGGAGCACUGCACAUCAUCCAGGAGAAUGCGGAGCGAGCUCCCUUCCCCGAACUCUGCCUUCUUGGUGGCCCGCACCACGUAGGGGAAGCCGAGCUGGCGGCACACCACGGCGGCGGCGGGCAAGCCCCAGCCAUCGUCGCACACCGUGCCCCACUCGCCGUCGAUGAACACCUCCACCCUGCCCCGGCCGCGGCCGCGCCGGCCCUGCCGCAUCAGCCGCACGGCGCCAUUGCCGGGGGGCUUCUUCUUCCUGCGCUGCCCCUUCUCCUCCGGCCCCUUCCCCGGCCGGGGGGCUCUGCCGCUGGGCGCUGCUGGGCUGCCCGUCCCGGUUCGGGUCCCUGGCCGCGCUGGGGCUCGGCCCGCCCCGUCCUCUGCCGGCGUGCGGGGCGUCCGGGGGUCUGGGACGCUUCCCCGCGGAGCCUCGGUCGUGGUCUUCAGGCGGGGAUGUGGGGUUGGUGUUUUCAUAAUAAACUCUGUUGGGGGAAAAGGUAGAGAACCGUGAGUCUGUCACUCUCUGGGCAAUGCUUGAAGACAAUUAUAUGAAACCAGUGCUGAUUUUUGACUUAUAUAACUAAUUUCUUGGGAUUUGUCUACUUGGUCCUGUUGGGAAGCAACGACACUCUUAGUGACCCGGUAUUUCCUCAGUGAAAAUGUCGGCUGCUGUUAGCUAGCAGAGAGGACUUCAGGGCUCAAUGCCAACUGAGCCUCUCCCAAAAAGGAAGCUCCAAGAGGUUUCUUGGCAAAUGUCAGCCUGGCCCUUAAAGGGUAGGUACUGGAGCUUCACAGUCAGGAGAGGAACUCUUCACCAUAUCCUGGUGAAGAGCCGCCGAAAGCAUUUUACAGACAGGCACUGUUUUUGCUCUUCUCUUCAUUACUGAGGACUGGAUCAUUACCAGAGGAGAGCGUGGCCUCCCCACUGGGCCAGAUGCUUUAUUCAGAGGAGCUGAAAUCGGGAACAUUCAAAAUCAAUUCUCUCUGGCAAGUGGAAUGUGCAAGAGGAACAGAGUUGCCAGGACAACACAUAAAACAGGAUUUGGGGUUGGGUUUGUUCUUCCUUAUGAAAAAAAAGGAAAAAAAAUAGAAGAGCCUUGAACUCUGAAGAGAUGAAAAUUCUUUGCUGUCACAGUUUCCAGGUGUUACUGGAUUUACUUAUUCACAUGUGGUUUAUUUUUAGCUUAAAAAUAAGUUUUAGUUUGCCAGAAGGAAGCAAUUCAGAAUUUCACGGAAUAACAUUCAACAGAGCUGGGACAAUGUCGCAGACAUUUACAAAGACAUCAUGACUUUGAAUUAUAUCCCAGAUUUAUGCAACCUCAUUCAUCACUUGGUUUGUAGUACAGAGAGGAGGGAAAAUAGCACUGUCUUAUUUGUGCUUAGAAUCUUAGUACCCCAAAGACAAACCCUCACAGUGGUCCAUGUUUUUCCAAAAAAUGCUUUUUGAAAAGGAAUUGUGUUCAUGACAUGAAAAUAUUUCCUUCCUUUGAAAGCUGUGGUUCUCAAGGCAAGAAACAGAUUUGAAGGCCUUACCUGUGCACAGCUCAUUUGCUGGAGCCUGGUUUGGCAAAGCACUUGAAAAGUGGGACUGAUUGAAUACUGUGUAGGACUGCAUGAAAGCUAAUGGUCACCUGGGAGUGCUUUUCACCUCACUGGAUCAAAUUGUCAUUAUAUAAUACUCUCUAUUAAACUGUUUAUUAAAUACACUUCCAAAAAA